rnacentral:piRNA from 1 species
UAAUGUCUUUUUCAACUUUUC